GACAGUAGGUACUGUAAGUCGCUCUGGAUAAGAGCGUCUGCUAAAUGACAAAAA
rfam:Salmo salar isolate Sally breed double haploid chromosome ssa15, whole genome shotgun sequence.